GUGCUUGAUUCAGCAGCACCUAUACUAAAAUAGGAAUGAUACAGAAAAGAUUAACAUGGCCUCUGCACAAGGAUGACCUGUGAUUUAGUCUGGUUUUUCAUUGCUAU
ensembl:snRNA U6 U6 spliceosomal RNA